rnacentral:rRNA from 1 species
GACGAACGCUGGCGGCGCGCUUAAUACAUGCAAGUCGAGCGAGAACCAGGGCUUCGGCCCUGGGGACAGCGGCGGACGGGUGAGUAACACGUGGGUAAUCAACCCCCGACACCGGGAUAGCCCAGGGAAACUUGGAUUAAUACCGGAUGCCCCAUCUGGCUUUCGAGCCGGCUGGAAAAGGGUAGCUUCGGCCUCCGGUCGGGGACGAGCCCGCGGCGGAUUAGCUUGUUGGUGAGGUAAAGGGUCACCAAGGCGACGAUCCGUAGCUGGUCUGACAGGACGAUCAGCCACACUGGGACUGAGACACGGCGCAGACUCCUACGGGAGGCAGCAGUAGGGAAUCUUGCGCAAUGGGCGAAAGCCUGACGCAGCGACGCCGCGUGAGGGAAGAAGGCCUUCGGGUUGUAAGCCUCUUUCAGGAGGGACGAAGCCACUCGGGUUAAUAGCCUAGAGGGUGACGGUACCCCCAGAAGAAGCCCCGGCUAACUACGUGCCAGCCGCCGCGGUAA